UCUGAUUUUUUAUUCUAGUCUUUCUGUUUGGUAAAGUUUAGAUUUUCCUUGUUGGGGUCGGAUGUGGUUUGUUGUUUGGAAUUUUGACGAUUAGGGGUUCUUAAAUUGCGUUAAAAUCUGGCAGGGUUAGGACCUAUGUGUUGGUAAACUUCAAGGUUAGAUUUUUUUCCUCUUUUUGAAGUUUUUCUUCUCAGUUGUCUUUUGAUUUCUGAUCAUAGUGUUUCUGUUUCAUAAAUUAUUGAUUUCUUGUGGGUGGAAUGCACAAGUUAUAGUCUUAAAUUUGUGAUGAGUUGAGGUUCUAUGAAGGUUGAUUGUUUUGGUUUCUGUUUGAAUUUUUGGUUUAUUUGUUUUGAUCAUGAUGUUUUUCUGUGAUAUCUCUUGUGAGUUUUGGGUUGCAUCUGGCUUUUUGAGGCUUUCAAGAAGAGUGCUUUUGCGUUUCUGAUAUCGGCAUUUACUUUGUCAUUUUGGUUUUUGAGUCUCUCCCAGAUGUUUUCAUUUGUUACGUUUUGAAUUGAUUCUUCGAAUUCAUGAAUUUUUUGGUCAAAAAUACUCUACCAUCUUACAAUUUCAUGAAAUUUUUAUCAAAAGUGGUCUUUUCACAUCAGCAUUCAAGUUUUCAAUUUUAUGGUUUCUUGACUUCUCUUCAGUCUUUGGUUUCUUUAAUUUUUAGCUGCCUGAUAUCUUGGGUUUGGUCCUAUUUUCAAGCUCUGUUCAGUUUCUUGUCUUCAAUUUUGUUGAAUUAGGAUUUCCAAGUAUCAAAAGUUAAGGUUUGUUUCUUCAAUUUGUGCUUUUAAUUUUGUAUCUGACUAAUUUCUUCUUGAAAGGUAGACUGCGUUUCAAAUCUGGGUUCAUGGUCACUGCAACUUAAGUGUCUUUGAGCAUAUUUGAAGUUAUGGUUUUCAAAUGUUUUGAUAUGUUUCCCUUUUCUUACCAUACCAGCUAAAUUUUUUAUGUUCUGAAAUGCUUUUAUUUAAUUGCAUUUGUUUCAUUAGAUUAAGAGUUUUUAUGCCAAACAGGCUGAAAAUCUCUAAUUGAUCAUGGCUGCCAUUAUUGUUUACUUGGUGAACUCUUUUGGUUGUACAUUGUUGUUAUGAUAUGUUUUUCUUGCAUUUGAUUGUGCCUUAAUUGUACUCUAAUAGUAUUAAGCUCUCAAACACCAUAUAUAUGGUCAUAUCCAAUCUUUUCCAUAACUCUUGAACCAAAACUCUUUUGCACACUCAAAUACAAAUUAAAAGUUCUGUAUGGUGAGGCUGGGCAGUUAAGUUGAUUGUUGCAAAGUGGAUGUUUUUCAAAAAUCAACGCUUUUUUAUUAGAUAAAUCCACAAUUUUUAGUUUUUCUGGCUUGGUUGAAGUUAAAUGGGGCUGCAUUGGUUAGGAUAUAAUUUUCUAGAAUUUGUUGAGUUUUGAGAUUUCUGACACUAGAGUCAAUGUUGGUCGCUUUCAAGUUUUGUAAAAUUUCUUGACUACUUUGGUCAAUGUGGUUGUUUCAUGUAGCAAAAAAUGAUACUAUAGGUUAUGCGAUCGUCGUGGUUUGUUGUUCUCUAAUUUUGUAUUUGGAGUAUCAGCAUUUAAGGUUAUGUCUAGAUUGCUCUCAGUUUACAAGGUUUCCAAUUUCAAACCAUCUUUGGUGAAAAUCUAAACAUCUUUUUUAAUGAACCAAUCGGCUUAACCUUCUCUUAGCAUUCUCUCUUGCACUAGUAAGGUACAGUAACUCUGCCCUUCUCAUUAUAAAUUUCUGUGUCAAACGUAUACCAUAGCCGUGAAGAUUGUUGAUAUUUUUGCAAAAUUUGGACGUUUUAGAGAGUUACCAUUGAUUAUUCUUCCCUGCCUUGUUUCAAAACAUCUUGCAUAUACGUUUAUUGUGCUACAGUUAUAAAGUCUUGUGUCCCUAUUGCCUCAGUAAGGUACCUUCUCAAGACCAUCUCCAACCCCAGUGUAUAUGGCUUUUCCUCUGAUGACUGGUUUGAGAGUAAGAAUUAAAUUGAUGCAGUGAAGUAAAAGGAGAUGGCAGGAAAUGUAUAUAGGAAGAAAUCUGGAUCUGUAACUCUGACGGAAAGCGGAGGUGACAGCAAAUCAGAAGAAAUUGCAAGAGGUGAUGGCAUGACAAUAGGGGCCAUGAAAGAUGAAAUAGCUAAGUUAGCUGGUGGGUGGGCUAAUGGAGAGAUUAUGACAAAACCAAGUAAGUCAGGAGACAAGGUGCAGAUUAUCGGUGGAGAAGCACCGACAGACACAGAUCCAAACAGUGGUUCCAAGAGAGAGCAGUCAUUUGCAAAGUAUUCUGUAUGACGAUGGUGACAAGGAGGAGUUGAAUUUGACGAAAGAGUAGUAUGAGCUUGAAAUUUUGCCAACUGAGGCUUUCAACUUGAAAGCUGGUUCCAGUUCCAAAAAAAAAGGGUGGGGGAUCGGAUGGUAAUGAAGUCAGUCCACUUAAGCUGCCAGAGACGGCAUUUCAGGUUGAAGAUGCUCAAGAAUUGAUGAAGAUUCCAGUAUUAAAUGUUAAAGCUAAAGAAGUGAUGACAACUCCAGAGUCAAAGAAUAGGUGUAAUUUUCUCAUUUUCAGAAGGAUGUUAUAAGUGGCUGUAUGUUCCUCAAUGUUUUAUCAUUUGACAUUAUCCUGAUAAGAUCAAGUUUUACAUUGGAAAGCUUCAGUUGUUGUAGUUUUUGAGUUUUGGGGUUCUGUUUCUGGGAUUUUUCUGAAAAACGUAUCAUCAGUUCCAAAUUUUA